GUGCCAGCAGCCGCGGUAAUACGUAGGGUGCAAGCGUUAAUCGGAAUUACUGGGCGUAAAGCGUGCGCAGGCGGUUAUGCAAGACAGAGGUGAAAUCCCCGGGCUCAACCUGGGAACUGCCUUUGUGACUGCAUAGCUAGAGUACGGUAGAGGGGGAUGGAAUUCCGCGUGUAGCAGUGAAAUGCGUAGAUAUGCGGAGGAACACCGAUGGCGAAGGCAAUCCCCUGGACCUGUACUGACGCUCAUGCACGAAAGCGUGGGGAGCAAACAGGAUUAGAUA
rnacentral:rRNA from 1 species